rnacentral:rRNA from 1 species
GAUGAACGCUGGCGGCGUGCCUAAUACAUGCAAGUCGAGCGAACAGACGAGGAGCUUGCUCCUCUGACGUUAGCGGCGGACGGGUGAGUAACACGUGGAUAACCUACCUAUAAGACUGGGAUAACUUCGGGAAACCGGAGCUAAUACCGGAUAACAUGUUGAACCACAUGGUUCAACAGUGAAAGACGGUCUUGCUGUCACUUAUAGAUGGAUCCGCGCCGCAUUAGCUAGUUGGUAAGGUAACGGCUUACCAAGGCAACGAUGCGUAGCCGACCUGAGAGGGUGAUCGGCCACACUGGAACUGAGACACGGUCCAGACUCCUACGGGAGGCGGCAGUAGGGAAUCUUCCGCAAUGGGCGAAAGCCUGACGGAGCAACGCCGCGUGAGUGAAGAAGGUCUUCGGAUCGUAAAACUCUGUUAUUAGGGAAGAACAAAUGUGUAAGUAACUAUGCACGUCUUGACGGUACCUAAUCAGAAAGCCACGGCUAACUACGUG